UCCCUGGUGGUCUGGUGGUUAGGAUUGGACUCUUUCACUGCCACAGCCCAGGUUCAAUCCCUGGUCUGGGAA
rnacentral:tRNA from 1 species